rnacentral:lncRNA from 1 species
GUUUACUGAGUGUGUGAGGGAGGAUGUGAGCUAGUUUCUUUUUGAGUGAGGAAAAUGAAUGAAUAUUUUUUUUGUCGUGAGUGAGCUGAGUGAGGGAGAUAUUUGAGAGAUUCUGAGAGAUUUGUAACGUGGGUUUUUGUGUGAUUUUUUAGAUUGGAGAGAGAAUGAGGUGUGUGUGACCGUUGGGAGUGGAGAGAGAUAGUGAGGGACAGGUGGAAGAGAGACAUUAGAGUUUCUAUUAUUUUUUAUUUGUUUUUUUUUUAUUUAAGAAAAGAGAAUCCAAUGCUAACAUUUUUAAUACACUAAUAAUUCACUUAAAUACAUAAAGCAUUAAUAAAAAAA